UAGAGCGGUUUGCGGGAAAACCGCACGAGCCGUUCAUUGAGGGGCUGGCCUCGGAAGAGGUCGGCCUACUCUAU
rnacentral:ncRNA from 1 species